rnacentral:rRNA from 1 species
CCUCCGGGGCGACCCUGCCUUCGGGCGGGGGCUCCGGGUGGACACUUCAAACUCUUGCGUAACUUUGCAGUCUGAGUAAACUUAAUUAAUAAAUUAAAACUUUUAACAACGGAUCUCUUGGUUCUGGCAUCGAUGAAGAACGCAGCGAAAUGCGAUAAGUAAUGUGAAUUGCAGAAUUCAGUGAAUCAUCGAAUCUUUGAACGCACAUUGCGCCCCCUGGUAUUCCGGGGGGCAUGCCUGUUCGAGCGUCAUUUCACCACUCAAGCCUCGCUUGGUAUUGGGCAACGCGGUCCGCCGCGUGCCUCAAAUCGUCCGGCUGGGUCUUCUGUCCCCUAAGCGUUGUGGAAACUAUUCGCUAAAGGGUGUUCGGGAGGCUACGCCGUAAAACAACCCCAUUUCUAAGGUUGACCUCGGAUCAGGUAGGGAUACCCGCUGAACUUAAGC